rnacentral:rRNA from 1 species
GACGAACGCUGGCGGCGUGCUUAACACAUGCAAGUCGAACGGAAAGGCCCUGCUUUUGUGGGGUGCUCGAGUGGCGAACGGGUGAGUAACACGUGAGUAACCUGCCCUUGACUUUGGGAUAACUUCAGGAAACUGGGGCUAAUACCGUAUAGGAGCUCCUGCUGCAUGGUGGGGGUUGGAAAGUUUCGGCGGUUGGGGAUGGACUCGCGGCUUAUCAGCUUGUUGGUGGGGUAGUGGCUUACCAAGGCUUUGACGGGUAGCCGGCCUGAGAGGGUGACCGGCCACAUUGGGACUGAGAUACGGACCAGACUCCUACGGGAGGCAGCAGUGGGGAAUAUUGCACAAUGGGCGGAAGCCUGAUGCAGCAACGCCGCGUGCGGGAUGACGGCCUUCGGGUUGUAAACCGCUUUCGCCUGUGACGAAGCGUGAGUGACGGUAAUGGGUAAAGAAGCACCGGCUAACUACGUG